GGAUCUCUUAAAGCUGUUCUCAGUUCGGACUGCAGUCUGCAACUCGACUGCACGAAGCUGGAAUCGCUAGUAAUCGCGGAUCAGCACGCCGCGGUGAAUACGUUCCCGGGCCUUGUACACACCGCCCGUCACACCAUGGAAGUCUGCAAUGCCCGAAGCCGGUGGCCUAACCACUUAUGUGGAAGGAGCCGUCUAAGGCAGGGCAGAUGACUGGGGUGAAGUCGUAACAAGGUAAC
rnacentral:rRNA from 1 species